rnacentral:RNase_P_RNA from 1 species
GCGAGUUGGUGAGCGGCUUUCGAGCCUGAAAAGGCUUGAGGAAACUCCGCCCCACACGUAGAGUUGCAACACCCGCAAGGGUGUAAGGCGAGAGCCUUGGCUCCGGAGCAGAAACGAAACGUCCAUCCAGCAGGUGCCGAUGAUGCAUGUUAAGUUGUUGAGAAUGCUGGAUGCGAAACGGUGAAACGGCCGUCCUGCAAGUGGAAAGGGCGAACAGGCGCUGAUGAAGUUUCUACCUGAAGUGCGGGUAGCCCGAUUAGUCGGAUGCCGCUUAAAACAGAAGGCGGGUUACAGCCAACACGC